rnacentral:lncRNA from 1 species
CUCUAUUUUAAGAGUUGUGCUAGCAAUGGAUGCUGGGAAUAGAGCAAGUAACUUGUUUGAAAUGUGAAGGAUGUACAGGAGUCAGCUAUACACAAGAGAAAAGAGGUAGAGCUUAUAAUUCAAGUGAUAUUUAAACUGAAACUAGUUGACUGAUAUGAUCCCAUAGUUAAGUGUGCUUUAUGGUUUGAGUCCUAGUUGAGUUUAAUGAUUUUGGUUUGAAUCCUAGUUGAGUUUAAUGAUUUUGCCCUUUUUUCCAGAGCUGGAUAAAAAGAGGAGAGCUAGAAAUAUCUUGACAUUGGGAGAGAUUCAUAAAUUCUGUGAAUGUAGAAUAAUAAAUUCUCUUUUAUCCACAACCCUAUUUUAAGCAUCACAACUCUAUUUCUUUCAUUGCUGGAUAAUUAUGGCACAGGCUAAUACAGCAAAGGCAAUACAUGGGCACUUCCUUUCUGUCCAUUGCAAGUCUGAGUGUUCCCCAUUCUUUAGAGCAGGCCAGUGACUGCAAAAUUAUGCAUAAGUAAACCCCUUUGAAAGUUCCUGAAGGACUUCAUUGUUUUAUUGAGAAAACAAAAGCAUUGGCUAUUUCUGGUAUUUUUGCUCAAUAAUGUCUAUACAUGCAAAUGUGAGAUAUUUCAUAUAAACAUGUACGUAUGUUAAGUAUGUAUAUGUUUAUGGGCAUGUGUGUAUAUAAUUUAAAACGUUAGUUUUGUUUUCAAUGUAUCAAUGAAACUUUAAGAUCUCUAAGUACAGGAAAGAGUUCAUUUUUGCAAGUCAUAUGAAGAGAAAUACUGAAAAUUUUCAUGUUUCAGAUUUCCCAUCUUCUAGGAGUACUACACGCAGUUAUUUCUAUAAAGUAAAUUAAAAGCUCCGCUUCCCUAAGAAAGCUCAGUUCAAACAGGCGACCAGGUCCUCUUCCGUAAGGGUUCUUGGAUGACGUCAAUCGUCAAAUACUGGGGAGAAACAUCAGGAACAAACGGGUAACAGAAAUGUGGCAGAAGCAAUUUUCUCCCUAUCAUUAGAUCCUGCCAUUGUUAUCACAGCAGGAGUAUUUUCAGAAGAUGAAUCUCGUUUGGGGUUUUCUAAGUGUCUGAGCUUGAGGAGUUUUUCCAUACAUCUAUGGAUGUGUUUCCCAGCAGUGGUGUCAGGUAUGCUUGUGCUUAAAUAUGCUAAUGGGAGCACCCCAGCUGGGAGGGGAUGCUGCAGGUGCAGAGGAGCGGAGGGGGACCCGCUGGAGCUGCUCCUGGAGCAAACGGAGGUGUGAGGUCGCAUCUCAGGUAGAGAGGAGGCUGCACCCGGAGCUUGGUGCUGGAGGAGGAAACACCGAGCAGGAGAGCACAGAUGCAGUGGGCGAGGCUUCUGGAAAACCUUGGCUACCUCAAUGUUCUCUGAAAUGAGAGGCAAUUGGCGUGAAUCCAGAACCGGGUCAGCGAAUCCCUAGGGUCCCACUUUGGCUUGACGUUCACGGAAUUCCCAGAGGAAUCUAAGGCACACAGUGGACCUUCUGAAUGCCGGGAAAAGCCAACUAUCAAUUGAUAAAGGUGUACCUAGUGCCAGGCGCUGCGAAAUGGUUGCUUUUAGUUCCUGCUCUCAAGAAACAUUUGAAGUGAGUAUGACUGGUACCCCAUUUUGCAGAUGAGGACAGAAGAGAUUAAGUAACUUGUCACAGUUGCACAGGUGGCACAUGAGACAGCCAGGGCUUGUCUCCAGACCUUGUAUUUUAUCCUUGCUACCAAGCUGCCCCAUGAGCCCUCAAAGAGUUGAUGUGAGCUCCCUGGCUCAGGGGGAGGCCAUGGAGCCCUGGAUGGGGCACACCAUGAGUGUGUGCCAG